UUUGGAAGGCGUAGGACUAGGAGGCGGUGACGGCGCGGUAAACAGGCUGGCGGGGAGCGUCUGCCCGGCUAGAGCGGGCGGGAGGCGAGGCCAGCGGAGGAGCUUUCCUUCUCGCCUCUGCAGCCUGCCAACCCUGAAAAACAUCAUGGCUGAUGUGAGUCGAGCUGACAAACCUCUCAAAGCAUCCUCACCAGGGAAGAUUCCCUAGAGAAAGCCUGCAGCACUUCUUGCCCAAGUUCUCUACUUGGUCACAGUGGAGAAAUUUGGAAAAUGGUGCUAACUGACCAGAAAUCUGGUGAUUUGAUUCCAUUAUAUAGCACCAUACCUACCAGCCAUUAAGAGAGGACACAAGUGAAGUCAAAUUAACUUCAGAAGAUGUGUUUGGGGAACCUCUCAACCCUGGAUGUCGUCGCCAGCUGCUCUUCACCUGAAGCGUUUUCUCAUGCACAAAACCGAGUUACCGAAUGCAGCCUUCCCGAGUGUCGGGUUAGGGUAACCGUUCACCUGUGGUAACUGUGGGUCCCAGGACUGAUGUUUCUUCCCCCCUCUCCUCCUUUCUCUUCCUCAUCAAGCCAAUCCUGAGGAUUCCGGCAACUGUUAGCUGUGCCAUAGUUCAGGCUAACCGUUUUUACGCUGUAAGCUUAUCCAUGGCAUUCCACAGUGCCGUGGCAUCCCAGCUACAAGUCAGUUACAACGCUAAACCUGUAGGAUAACCAGACGUGGCACCUGCUGAGUGGUAUGUGUAGACAGGCAAUGCGUUUAUAAAGUGAGUGAGGAAUGGAGCAGGUGUGGUGAAUCGGAAGUCUUGAUGUGGACUGAAAAUGUGUUUGCUUCUUCAGAAACCAGGGAUGUUUUCUUAUUUUCAUGUUCAACACUUUUCAUAAAAUGUAUUACCUAAAAGAGUAUGACUCCUAAUCAUAGUUCCCUGUACCAUCUCUAGAUGUUGGAUUAUGUUCCUUCACCACUGUAUAAACCUAAAUGAAAAAAAAAAAAAAAAAAGAAAGAAAAAAAAACCCUAAAUGGAAUUUACCUCCAGGUGGGCAUUCAUCAGACUUCUGUGUGGAAACCUCCUUUGUGGUAUACAACGAGUGAUAACUGGUAUAUUAAUAUCUCCUUUUAUGUCUCCUACUAGAGAGCUGGUGGCUAAUUCACUAGCUUAAGGACACUCCUCUGCAUUAGAAUUACUAAAGAGUGAAAAUAUUUGCUAAGAGUGUUAGCUGAUCUGUCCUCUGCUGUGACAUCUUUUAUGUAUGAAAUGUAAAUGCCAAAAGGAAAUCGUAGGCCUCGGCACACGGCCUUUGGGAAACCGACAGCAACCCAUGACUAAACUGAUUUGACAAUGGAUGUGUUAACAGAUUCUAAGCAGAAGUUAAUGGCUCAGCUUUCUCAGCAGAUACUCUAUUUUGAAGGAAAAGGUGCAUAGUACAACCAUGAGUCCCAAGAAAGGCAAUUGCAAUUAAUUUAAUGAUAAAUUUGCUUUUAUCAGUGACUUCUGUGGUGUUGACAGAAAUGUUGGUGGAACGCUUCUUUCUCAUCUGGAGCCCUUCUUGCACAUCUGGAACUUCAGAGUCAGUCCUGGUUAGUAACACUUUUAUGUGUAAACUCAUAGCAGUUGGGGGCUGGUAUAAUUCCUAUAGAGAAGCCUGUGCUACAUUCAUCAUUCUGAAUGAAAGCAAUGGCCAUUAACCCAUUUCCUGGUUCUUCUCUGCAUAUUCUCCAGUAAGCCAUUGGUGAGAAUUUUAGAACAGAAGGACCCUAGAUUUGGAGGUAGAGUGCCUGGAUUUGAGUACAGCCUCCAACUAGCUGUGUGGUUGCCAGUGUGUAGUGUAAUCAUCUCUCUGUCUCUUAGAUCUUUGUCUGUAAGUGGUCACCAAGUUGCCAAACAAGAUAUUAGGACAGAAUGAGGUAGCUCAUGGGGAAAGAAGCACAGAAAAUCCCCUCAAAAACAUUUGAGAAUGAGCGUUUUGAUGCAGGCCUGGAACUCCAUCACUCUGGAGGCCGAGACAGAAAGAACGAGAGAUGGAAGCCAUCCUGGGCUGCUCAGAACUUAUCUCAACAAACAAAACAAAGAAAAACAAAACAAAAACACCCUUUUAAUCUGGGGCUAUAGCGAAGAUAUAGUGUGCUUGUCAACAGGCACAAGGCCCUGGGUUUGCUCCCUAGCCAUGUAAAACAAAACAAAACAAACAAAAACUUCAGUUGAUACAUA